rnacentral:rRNA from 1 species
GUUGCGAACGGGUGAGUAACGCGUAGGUAACCUGCCUGGUAGCGGGGGAUAACUAUUGGAAACGAUAGCUAAUACCGCAUAAUAGUAGAUGUUGCAUGACAUUUGCUUAAAAGGUGCAAUUGCAUCACUACCAGAUGGACCUGCGUUGUAUUAGCUAGUUGGUGAGGUAACGGCUCACCAAGGCGACGAUACAUAGCCGACCUGUGAGGGUGAUCGGCCACGCUGGGACUGAGACACGGCCCAGACUCCUACGGGAGGCAGCAGUAGGGAAUCUUCGGCAAUGGACGGAAGUCUGACCGAGCAACGCCGCGUGAGUGAAGAAGGUUUUCGGAUCGUAAAGCUCUGUUGUAAGAGAAGAACGAGUGUGAGAGUGGAAAGUUCACACUGUGACGGUAUCUUACCAGAAAGGGACGGCUAACUACGUGCCAGCAGCCGCGGUAAUACGUAGGUCCCGAGCGUUGUCCGGAUUUAUUGGGCGUAAAGCGAGCGCAGGCGGUUAGAUAAGUCUGAAGUUAAAGGCUGUGGCUUAACCAUAGUACGCUUUGGAAACUGUUUAACUUGAGUGCAAGAGGGGAGAGUGGAAUUCCAUGUGUAGCGGUGAAAUGCGUAGAUAUAUGGAGGAACACCGGU